rnacentral:misc_RNA from 1 species
AACUUUCAAUAACAUUGUAUCAAACAAACAAGACGGUUAGAACAUAAAAACGACAAACUUCCUGCCACACAGAAAGGUUUAUAAAGGUGCAAAACAGACCCUACAUAACACAAGAUAAAAGGCUACACCAGUACCACCACACGCUCACACCAGGAGAGACUGGAUCACAGGAUCUCCAGAACAUGCAAGCAAAAUUGAUGAAGGUUGCCAUCAUCACAUAAAGACACUUACUUUGAUCGCUGCCUCAUCUUUCGG